rnacentral:rRNA from 1 species
UCUGACGCUCUUGGAGACAGGGNUUCCCUUCGGGGCAGGGUUGACAGUUGGUGCAUGGUUGUCGUCAGCUCGUGUCGUGAGAUGUUGGGUUAAGUCCCGCAACGAGCGCAACCCUUGUCAUUAGUUGCUACGCAAGAGCACUCUAGUGAGACUGCCGUUGACAAAACGGAGGAAGGUGGGGACGACGUCAAAUCAUCAUGCCCCUUAUGACCUGGGCUACACACGUACUACAAUGGCCGUGAACAAAGAGAAGCAAGACCGCGAGGUGGAGCAAAACUCAAAAAACGGUCCCAGUUCGGAUUGCAGGCUGAAACCCGCCUGCAUGAAGUUGGAAUUGCUAGUAAUCGCGGAUCAGCAUGCCGCGGUGAAUACGUUCCCGGGCCUUGUACACUCCGCCCGU